rnacentral:rRNA from 1 species
ACCAGACUCCUACGGGAGGCAGCAGUGAGGAAUAUUGGUCAAUGGGCGAGAGCCUGAACCAGCCAAGUCGCGUGAGGGAAGACGGUCCUAUGGAUUGUAAACCUCUUUUGCCGGGGAGCAAAAAGCGGUACGUGUACCGCAUCGAGAGUACCCGGAGAAAAAGCAUCGGCUAACUCCGUGCCAGCAGCCGCGGUAAUACGGAGGAUGCGAGCGUUAUCCGGAUUUAUUGGGUUUAAAGGGUGCGCAGGCGGCGAGUUAAGUCAGGGUAAAAUGUUCGGGGCUCAACCCCGACGAGCCGUUGAAACUGGCUUGCUAGAGUGGGCGAGAAGUAUGCGGAAUGCGUGGUGUAGCGGUGAAAUGCAUAGAUAUCACGCAGAACUCCGAUUGCGAAGGCAGCAUACCGGCGCUCAACUGACGCUCAUGCACGAAAGCGUGGGUAUCGAACAGGAUUAGAUACCCCCGUAGCA